CGCCCAUUAAAGCGGUACGCGAGCUGGGUUCAGAACGUCGUGAGACAGUUCGGUCCCUAUCCGGCGCGGGCGGAGGAUAUUUGAGAGGAGCUGCCCCUAGUACGAGAGGACCGGGGUGGACGGACCACUGGUGUAUCAGCUGUCGACCAACGGCAUAGCUGAGUAGCCAAGUCUGGACGGGAUAAACGCUGAAGGCAUCUAAGCGUGAAGCCCCCCUCAAGAUGAGAUAUCCCCUCCUUCAAGGAGAUAAGAUCCCUUAAAGACGAUAAGGUAGAUAGGUUCAAGGUGUAAGUGUGGUAACACAUUCAGCUGAUGAAUACUAAUAGAUCGAAGGUUUAUUCUA
rnacentral:rRNA from 1 species